UCCCUAGUGGCUCAGAUGGUAAAGCAUCUGUCUGCAAUGCAGGAGACCCAGGUUCAAUCCUUGAUUCGGGAA
rnacentral:tRNA from 1 species